UACGUAGGGCGCAAGCGUUGUCCGGAAUUAUUGGGCGUAAAGAGCUCGUAGGCGGCCUGUUGCGUCCGCUGUGAAAACCCGCAGCUCAACUGUGGGCUUGCAGCUGAUACGGGCAGGCUUGAGUUCGGUAGGGGAGACUGGAAUUCCUGGUGUAGCGGUGAAAUGCGCAGAUAUCAGGAGGAACACCGGUGGCGAAGGCGGGUCUCUGGGCCGAUACUGACGCUGAGGAGCGAAAGCGUGGGGAGCGAACAGG
rnacentral:rRNA from 1 species